rnacentral:lncRNA from 10 species
GUAGGUGUGUUGGUGACAUGUUCCCUUAGUUUUCCCGCAUCUGAAGUCUUGUUCUUGCCUUCAGUUCUGCAGGAUAUUUUUGCUGGAUAUAGAAUUUGGGGUUGACAGUGUUUUUUCGUUUUAGCACCUGACAUUCUGUGGUGCUUUCUUCCUUCUAUCAGGGUUUCUCAUGACAAAAUCUGAUUUCUCAUAUGAAAUCUGCUGUUAUUUGAAUUGCUUUUUCCCCAAUGUAAGUAAGGUGUGGUUUCUCUCUCCUUGAUUUGUCUUUUCAUUUUUGGAAGUUUGCCUAUGAUCUCUCUAGGCAUGGAUUUCUUUAGGUUUAUUCUGUUUGAGGUUCUCUAGACAGCUUCUUUUGCCAAACUUGGGAAAUUUUCAACCAUUAUUUCUUCACAUGCUUUUUCAGCCCUGCCCUUUUUCUCUUCUCUUUUCAGAACUCCAAUGACACUAAUGUUAGAUCUUUUAUUAUAAUCCCAGAGGUCCCUGAGACUAUGUUAAUAUAUUUUUAAAAAAUCUGUUUUCUCUCUGUUGUUCAGUUGGGCAAUUUCUGUUGUUCUGUCUUCAGGUUCACAGAUGGUUUCCUCUGCCCUCUCCACUGUGCUUUUGAGUCCAUUCAAUGAGUUUUUACUUUGGUUACUGUAUUUUUCAGUUUUAAGAUUUCCCUUUCAUUCUUCUUUACAUCUUCUGCUUCUUUACUGAGUUUUCUAUUUUUUCAUCUUUUUUUUGCCUGUUCAUAAUUGCUCAUUAGAAGAUUUUUCUGAUGGCCCCUGCAGAGUCCUUGUCAGAUUAUUCCAACAUCUGUGUCACCUCAGUGUUGGCAACUGUUGAUUGUCUUUUCUCGUUCAAGUUGAGCUUUUCCUGGUUCUUGGAAUGAUGAAUGAUUUUUUUUUUCUUUUUUCUUGAAACCUGGGCGUUUUGGGGGUAAUGUUAUGAUGUGGAGCUUAUUUAAAUCUUCUAUUAUAGUGGCCUCUGCUGCACCACCCUGGCUUGGGAGGAGGUGCUCCUCACGUGGCCUCCAAUGACAUUGUGGGGUGGAGGCAUCUUACCAUUGGAAGUCACCAUGUAACAAAUGCAGACAUCUCUGAGAUCACCAUGCAGUGAGGAAGUCUAAGCUGGUGGCAUGAAGAGGCCACAUGGAAAGGGCUAAAAAAGGGGCCAGCCUCAGUCAUCCCAGCUGAGCACCUGGCUGGGAAUAAAAGAGGACUCCGUGGAUGUCCAGCCCAGUAAGAUGACCUCAGCCCCAGCCACCAACUGACCAAGCACACAAGACAUCGUGAGGCUGCCUGCUGGAGCCUGGCCAGUGGGACUGUAGAGUAACUCAUUGUCGUGCAGGAACUCCUGGGAUGGUGUUGCCCAGUGACACAAUCCCAGUGUGGCCAUUUCUGAUCCCGAGAAAGCAGUCAGGAGUGGGUGGAUGCAGUUACAGUUCAUCAAGUCCUGCUAGUUCAAGUCAUGAGUCCUGAAUUCUCCAGGAGGAGCCACUAAAGAAAUGCAGAAGCAGGCAAUCCUUGCAAUAAGGCCAGCAAACUGCCAGUGUGAAGGAUGCCCAGGUAACCUGCCCAUGCCAGAACGGCCAGGAGAUGGUGGAACCAGAAUCUAAGCCCACGCCCAUCUGACCUCAAAGUCUGUGCUCCUGAGGUUCGCACCGAGUUGCCUCCUAAGACUUGCUGAAACUGGAUCACGUCCAUUUACCCAUCUCUGAGAGAAAUGCAAGCUUUAAAAAAGGAAAUAUUUACUAUGGAUAUUUUACAAUAGUUCCAAAACAUGAAAGUUUUAAAUAAGAUAUUCUUAACCAUCCUCACCACAUCUUCAGGUUCCCUUACAGCCACUGUGUUUUGACGAUUGCCCAUUAGAAAAAAAGACUAUGCUUUCUGUAGGUUUUAAAGGAAUGGUGGUGAAAUAAGGAGCAUUCCCUGAGCAGAUCUUGCCUGCGGGCACACCUCUGAGCAUUGGACCAGGCGAGAAGAGCCCAUGUGUUGGCUGCUUUGGGAUCCCAGCACUGCCAAUGGCAGGUGGGCUGUGGCCCAGGGAGAGAACCUAGCCUUUUGCAUUCUCUUGCCCCAUUUGAAAAUGGAGACGAUAGUGGCGCCCCGCUCAGUGUUAUUUUGAGGAUUUGAAUGUAUCUCAGAUGUAGUACCUGGAAAAAUAUAAGUGCUCAGUAAAUACGGUUGCCAGAUAAAAUGCAGGAAACCUAUUUAAAUUUAAGUUUUGGCUGGACAAUGAAUAGAAUAAUUUUUCUUAGUAUGAGUAUGUCCUUAUAUUUCAUCUGCUAAAUUUAGCAACCUCCUCAGUAAACGAUCACUACAAUUGCAGAAACGCCUUAUGACAGAUAUAGUAAAUCUGUAAAGAAAUAGGAACUUGCAUUUAUUUUUACUAAGCUCUGACUGGUUAAGAUAACUGGGCAAGAGAAGAUAUCUUCGACUAAACUUGCAGCACAUAGAGUAUAGAGAUUCAAAUUUGAAGUCCUAUAGGACUAGAAUGGCCAGAGGUGAACUGUAGCGAGCUUAUCUAAAGAGGACCAAUUUCAAAAGUUCCUCAGAGACUUAAAUGGGCCCACAGACCCCUCCUGUGUCUUUGCAUAAGCCAGCUCGUUAUAUCAGUUAUAAGUUGAUUUCCAGAGAAAUGUACCCUGGAGAUCCCUCUCCCACUUGAAAUAGGACUGGCCAAUCCAGAUGUCCCCCAGGUGAUGUUGGCUCAAAUGGAGCUCCAUAUAUUGGAGAAUCUAUUCAAGAAAACAAGCAAAAGUAUUUGUGACUGAGUUAGCUAAUGCCAGCUGGUAUCUUGAACAAACCCAGAUCUCUAACAUGCUAGUUUAUUUCGUAGUGUAAAAUGUGUGUUACUGAUGGGCAGACAGCUCUCAUUCAAGCAGUGACAGAUGUAAGCUCUUCCCAUUUUUGUGGCCCCAUUGUAUUCGGCGUGUGGCUUCCAAGUUGCCUGGGAUCAUCUCCACCCAGACUAAGGAAGAGGAAAGAGCUUGGACAACUGCACUUGGCUGGUUUUUAUGGAUCAGGCAAGGAAUUGGCUCCAACACAUUAGCUCACAUUCCAUUGGUUAGAACUGGGUUUCUCAACUAUUAGUACAGGGUGAGUGUAGGGUUUUGGCACCAUGGGCAUUUGAGCUGGCCAAAGGCUAAUCAGAGUUAGAACAAAGCCACAAAGCCUGUGAAUGGUGUUUAUUGUUGUGAGGAGCUGUCUUGUGCAUUGUGGAAUGUUCAGCAGGAUGCUCUCUGGCCUCAGAGACUCACUAGAUUCCCAUAGAACUCUCCUCUCUCCUCUAGUUGUGACAACCACAGUUGCCUCCUCUCCAGACAUUGCUAGAUGUCCCCGGGAGGCAAAAUUGUCCUGGUUGAGAACCACUGUGUUAGAACUCGGUCACAUGGCCAUACCUAACUGCAAGGGAGGGGGCUGGAAGAUCUAGACGAGUAGUAUGCCAGGAAGAAAAUAGAACUGAUUUAGAGGCUGCUGGCCAGUCACUUUCAGUGACCUUCAGCAUACUUAUUCCUCUGCAGCUGUCAGGACACUCAUGCCUGUUUCUGAGAUGUUUCCUGUGUGAGGGGACAUAGUGACUAUUGGAGGGGUGACAUGUUGGACUUGGGUAGGGUGAAGAGGAUUGGAAACCACCAUCAUGUUUGGCAGCAUUGAAUGUUUAUGACUAUUUGAAUAGUUGUGACAAGGGUACAGUGAAGGAGGAAGUAACCAUUUUUGAAUACCCUUUUACAAUUUGCAAAGCACUUUUAAAGGUAAGAGUGAGUUCCUAGACCAUAUUAGGGUGAGAAUGGACAUUGUUGGCUGCCAUAUCAUUGGGCAGGGGCUUUGAGAUUUUUGUCUUCAGAAGGCAGAUUAGAUUUGGAGUAGAAGGAGAAAUGUAAAGACCUGGUAUCUGAGUGUGUUUGCAGAGGGGAAUUGUCGUUUGGAAGCACAAGAAAGGGAAUGGCCCGUUGGCACAUAUGGUACAUUGUGUUUUCAUAUAAUUAUACCUGAAUGAAAGCAAGAGGAAACGUGUAGGAAGCUGUUUACAUAGUCCUUUUAAUAAUGUUUACAUGAGUUAAUGAACAUGCAAACGUAUCUGAUGAAAACAUGUCAGUAGUGAAACAGCCUUGUGAAGAAUCAGAUCUUACCUCAGGCUGGAAAAAAGGACUGGUUUUCCAAGCUCACAAAUUGCAGCCAGUGUGAAUAGUAGCACAAAUGACUGAGCUUUAAGACAUCCAUCCAUCCAUCUAUCCAUCCCCUCAUCCAUCCAUCCCCUCAUCCAUCCACCCAUCCAUCCAUCCCUUCAUCCAUCACUCCAUCCAGCCAUCCGUCCCUUCAUCAAUCCAUCCAUCCCUUCAUCCAUCCAUCCAUCCUUCCUUCCAUUCAUCCCUUCAUCCAUCCGUCCAUCCAUCCAUCCAUCCACUCAUUCAUCCCUUCAUCCAUCCAUCCAUCCAUCCUUCCUUCCUUCCAUUCAUCCCUUCAUCCAUCCGUCCAUCCAUCCAUCCACCCAUUCAUCCAUCCAUUCCUUCAUCAACUCAUCCCUUCAUCCAUCGUCUACCAUUCAUUCACCCCUUCAUCCAUCCAUUCAUUUAUCCAUCCGUCCAUUUACUUCCAUCCAUCCCUUUAUCCAUCCAUUCACCCAUUCAUCCCUUUAUCCAUAUGUCCAUUCCUCCAUCCAUCCAUCCAUCCAUUUACUCUUCAUCCCUUCAUCCAUUUUUCCAUCCAUUCAUCCAUUCAUCUUUUCAUCCAUCCAUCCAUUGAUCUAUCCAUCCAUCCAUUGCUCCAUCCAACCAUCCAUCCAUCCCUUCGUCCCUUCAUCCAUCCAUCCAUUCAUCCCAUCAUCCAUUGAUCACUUCAUCCAUCCAUCCUUCCAUCCUUCCAUCCAUUCUUCCAUUCAUCCAUCCAUGUGUUCAGCAAGUAUUUACUGAAUGCCUAUUAUGUGCCAAGCACUCUCCUCAGAACUUAGGAAAUACCAGGAAACAAAAUCAACAACAAUCCCUCACCACCUGGAUAUUACAUUUUGGUGGGAAGAGACAAAGAAAUAAAAUUGGUGAGUGAAUCACAUAGGUUAUUAGAAGGUGAUAAAGGUGUAGGUGAUAAAGGAGAAGUGCCAGGAGCAAGGAUUGGGUACAGUUGUGAAUAAGGUGGCCCCAAUAGGUUGCACUGAGAAGGUGACAUUUGCACAGAGACUUGAAGAAAGGAAGGAGAGAACAUGACUGUACCUGGGUAACAGCAUUUGUGGAAGAGGGAACAGCCAGUGUAAAAGUUCCAAGGCAUGAGUGCCUGGUACAUACAUGGAACAUCGAGGCCAGGGUGGCAGAAACGCGGUGAGUCCAGGAAGGGAAUAGGAACUAAGUGUAGGAAGGUGUACAGUGGGGUGGUGUGGGGGUGGAAUUGUGGCAGCCAGAUGGUGUUGGCCUAAGGCCUCUUGGCCCUUGUUAGGACUUGGUUUACCAUGGCGCAACACAUCCAUGAGAUUGGCAAAAAUUAAAAAGUCUGACAACAGAAAAUCUGGUAAUCUGGUGAGGAUGUGGAGCAGUGGGAAUUCUCCAAUACUGCCAGGGAGCAUGGGCAUCAAUCCCACCACACUGGAAUGCAAAGGGGCAUUCUGAGUAGAACUGAAGAUGUGCCCAUCCUUGACCCCACAGUUCCAGCCAUGGGCAUGCGCAUGAAUGUGCACACGUGUUGACUGCGGCAUUUGUUUGUCAUUAUGAAAACAUCUAAGUUUCCAUCUAUGGGAGAGGGGAUAAUGUGGGAGUGCCCAACAGUGGAGUUCUAGAGAGCAGUAAAAAUAAAUGGACUAGAGCUGCACACGUCAAAAUGGAUGAAGAUAAAAGACAUAAGGAUGGAAGAAGACCACCUGGCCACAGAAGUAUAUGUCCAAUAUGAUGCUGGUGUAUCCAGAGUGUUCAAACAAACAACACAACACUACUCAUUGUUUCCAACGUGAGUAUGAAAGUAUGGAGCAGUGCGGAGGGCCAGGAGUGCUGAAUCCACAUGGUUACUUCUCCAGGCGGGGGCCGAGGACCAGGGCUGGAGGUUUACUCCAGGAGCUUCAGUGGUGCAUGCUGAAUGUGCUGUUUCUUGGGCUGGGGGACAGAGAUGUGCAUGCUGUUAUACACUCUAUAUUGAAAUGAUUGUAUAACAAUAUACUAAUUUAUCAUGUAAUAAAUUUGACCAGAAAGAAACAACUGUUCUGUGGCUGCUUCCAUGACUGGAUUUCACGUUGUAGGUUUCUAAGCAGAGAGUCCAAGGAAAACCAAAGGAGCGGCGGAAGGAUAAGCCUCCCGGGUGUUCUGGGAGUGUCCCUUUGCUUGGG